rnacentral:snoRNA from 1 species
GGGGUGUGCUCAGAGCGGGGGGCCUGAAGAAACGGCUCCUCUGUUCACAGCAUACCCAACAGGAAUCUGGGUGCAUUGUGACAAGGGGCACAAAACUUGUGGCCUUCCUAUGAACAAAUACCCAACCCGU